UCUAGUUCCGGUUUAGAUCCCCGAUACACAUAUUCAACGCUGCACCACUAUUGCUUAAAAUGUCUGUGAAAAAACAAGUAUGUGGACCUUGUCUGCGAGGAACUUUAGAGACAGAUGGAGUUGCCUACUGCACAGUGUGUCAGGAACCACUGUGUGACAAGUGUAAACAGGAUCAUGGAAGGAUAAAAGUUUCAGAGCACCACAAGUUGUGUGACCUUGCGGAUGUGCCUCCCCAGGAGAUGCAAGAACAUCUGAAGAGCUUGACUGCCUGUCCGAAUCACAAAAAUGAAGAGUUGGCCUACUUGUGCAAAGAACACGAUGUGACAUGCUGUAGUAAGUGUGCUAUCGCUGACCACAGAAAGUGCAAGGAAGUAAAACUACUGUCUGACAUACUGCAUGACAUAAAAUGGAUUGCUCUGGGUUGAAAUCUGUGUUGCGUGAAAUUCAACAGAAUUGCGAGGGUCUUUUGGAACAUGAACGCAAACACGAAGAACUGAUAGCCGAAAGCGAACGUAAAGCAAUGUUAUUACUUCAAGAUGUUAAACAGAAACUACUGGACACGUAUAAUAAGAUUGAGGAAACAGUGCUGUCGUCCAUUGCUGAUAAAAAGAAAGUUAUAUUCGAAAAAAUCAGCGUACAGCAAAAAAGCGUACGUCAUAUUUUGAAUGACACUGAACACCAAUCGUCAUGCAUUGAACAAGUUGAGAAGUUUGGAACAGAAGUUCACGCAGUUUUAGUGCAACGUAAAAUUCAAAAAGAACCACAAACUCGACUCCAAUCAUCAGUCGUUGAUAUUGGCAGAAGCCGAACUCGGUCUUUCUUUAAAUGUACUGCGAAUACGUGUUUGGAUACUUUACUAAUAGAAAUCAAGAAUUCUUUGCAAAUUGACGACAUGGUUUGUGAUGUAAGCGAGAAAGGUUCAGACUCUGAUAUCAAGCAAGCCUCAAUAUACGCAGAACGAAGUCUUCAGCUUCAGUCUGAAAUCAGUCUCGAUGAAAAGCAACUGAGUAAUAGUAAUAAUUAUCCUUAUUCUUGCAUUUGGAUAGACCAUCACAUUGUUGUCGCAUUGGAUACACCGCCGUCUGUAGUAGUAUUCCACGAAGACAACGAAACUGUAUUAUCGAGGUUCAACUGUCAGUCAAUCCCUUGGUCAGUUUCUAAGACAGGCCAAAAUGACAUGGUGAUUACUUUCCCACGUCAACGUAAGAUUUCAUUUGCACAGCUUCGCAAUGGAAACGUUCACUUGGUAGCGGAAAUGACGACGAGUGUCCCAUACAAGGAUGUCGCUAGAGAUACCGCAUUAAACCAGUUCAUCUGUUUGGCGAAUUCUGAGGGACAAAUAGACGUUCUUAACAACGAUGGGAGUUUAUUGCAUACCCUUAGUUUAAGCUCAGAAAUAAAACAAUGUAUAACGUCAUCACAUUAUCUUGCUGUGCAUGUUAAUUUUCGCAUAUUGUUUCUCACAAAUAAAAUUUUACAUGAAAUAACAGCAAUUAGUUUUCAGGGAAAAAAGUUAUUUGAAUAUGCGGACAAUAAACCAUUGGCAUGUGCCAUGGAUCCUAGUGGUGAUGUAUAUGCGGUAUGCCUAUCGGGAAACAUACAUCAAAUUAGUCCCACGGGUCAAUAUAAAAAAUCUCUUUUGUUAAAGGAAAUAGAUGCGCCGCGCGGGUUGUGCUUUAACGACACCUUUGAUAAACUAGCAAUUGUUGGUGGCUUAGACAAAUGUUAUCUGAAAUUGUAUAAAUAUAUUUGAAUCGUUAGUUUAACACAAUGCUAAUUAUAAGUCAUUGCUUCUUCACCUUGGUUAUGAUGAUGAUAUGCUUUGGUAUAAAGGUAUUUAUAUUAGCUGUGCUCUGUGAAAAGGGUGUUUAAUGCAUGUGCGCAGUCCGAACAGGCUAAUCAGGACGACACUGUCCGCUUUAAUGGUAUAUUUCGUUUACAUAAAGUUUCCAGUUUAUGCGGAAAGUGUCGUCCCUGACUAGCCUGUGCGGACUGUGCAGGUUAAUCUGGGACGACACUUUACGCGCAUGCAUUAAACCCCAUUUUCAUAGAGUACUGCUCAUUUGUUCCCUGCAAGUAUAUUAUAUUAUUAUAAACAUUUGUUGCAAAUUCAGAUUUGCUGUGCGUAUAUUUAUUUCCUGCAACAGUUUGAUUAUAUCUGUGUAAAUGCGGUAGUUUGUUUCCCGUACACAUCAUCGAUAUGCUCAUAUUUGGAGUCUUUGGAGUCUGUCAUGAGUAUAGUAACGCCUUAUUGUCGUAUAGGUCUUACUGUUUAGUAAUUUCUUUUUUGCCGUAAAUCAAAGACCACACAUUAUACUAAGGUGUUUUUUGCUGGUCGGAUGAAAUGUUACUUUGUUUAUAUGUGUAUACUGAGUUGAGUUGUAUAGCCUCUUUUUACAGCUAAAGAAAACAGUUUAAACACCGAAAUACAAGUCAACAGUUGUUAACAUUUACCAGGUACACUUAAGUGAGAAAAUUCAUAUUCAAAUAAUUAAAUGCAGAUUUAUUUCAAUGGCGAAUAAAAUAAAUA